GUGGUGGUGCAGAUGUAUUCUCAUCUGGUGCACAGCCAGCUGGCUUUCUGCAAGGCCUAGGCUUCAGUCUUCACUGAGCCAUAUAGCUUGAGCACUGAGGGAACUCACCAGGUUCCAUAUCGCUCCACCAGAGCUCCUCUUCUCUGAAAAGAUACAUGUGUAUGGGCUGGGUCUCAGUGACUUUAAAACCUGCAGCCUCAGGGAGUCCUGAGACCAACACCCACCCCCAACCGGCCUUCCACAAGAAGAUGCUGCAGAGCAGAAGCUCCCCCUGCACUCCCUGCCCCACAGCGGCUACAUCCUGGCCCCUGCAAGGCCGAGAGGCAGGAGGCAUCUAGAGAAUUCCCUCCUGUCUCUACAUGGGAAUUGGUUGUGGGGGGAGGGGGUCAGCUGGAUCCAGUGGAUAAAAGCCUGGCUAGUGGCCUAAGGAGAACCACCUGGCCCUUCAGCAGCAGAGCAGUGACUGGCUGCAAUCUGAGCCUCUUCCCAGCCAGGGGCAGGCUGGGCAGUUGGCCCAGCAUCCAAGGACCCUGCUUGGGAGAGGGCCAGAGCUGCUGAGGAGCAAGAGGCCUCCUGUAGCUGAAGCUGCCCUGAUGCCCAGAUGUGGCCUUGAGGAACACCCCACACACACCAGCCAAGCAUCUCCGCCAGAUAAGAAAGUGCCCAAGAUGGAGCAAAGAUGACAUGUUCUGGGAGGUACUGCACUUCUCCAAUGCAGAGAAAAGCGCACACUAGGAGUGGAGGGAAGCCAAAAGGCAGGCAGAAAAGAAAAUCAGGAGUUUGUUAAGGGCGCUACUGAGUGGAUGAUUAAAGUCAUGGAGGAGCAAACGCAGAUGCUAAAAUCCUUAAUAAUGCUGCAGAUGGAGCAGAUGCAUGCCCGCCCUCCCCUGCAGCACAUUCAGAACUCUUUUUGGUGUCUCCCUCCAAAAAACUCUGCCCGCACCAUCCUUUCUGGGACUACUCCAUCCCAUCGGACAACUUUCAAAAUGACAGCUGGACCUACACACAGCUCUGAAAGUCUGCCCUUCCCUGGUACCUCCUUUCCCACCAAGCAGCUUUGUGGGUGUGGGUGUGGGGGUGGUUUCUUGUGCAAUAAAAGCAAAGUUUUUGAACAGUAA